GAUGGGANGGAAACUGCCAAUCCAGAGUAUCGGAGAGGAAAGUGGAAUUCCUAGUGUAGCGGUGAAAUGCGUAGAUAUUAGGAAGAACACCAGNGGCGAAGGCGACUUUCUGGACGAAAACUGACGCUGAGGCGCGAAAGCCAGGGGAGCGAACGGGAUUAGAUACCCCGGUAGUCCUGNCCGUAAACGAUGGGUACUAGGUGUAGGAGGUAUCGACCCCUUCUGUGCCGGAGUUAACGCAAUAAGUACCCCGCCUGGUGAGUACGACCGCAAGGUUGAAACUCAAAGGAAUUGACGGGGGCCCGCACAAGCGGUGGAGUAUGUGGUUUAAUUCGACGCAACGCGAAGAACCUUACCAGGUCUUGACAUUGAUGGACAGAACCAGAGAUGGUUCCUCUUCUUCGGAAGCCAGAAAACAGGUGGUGCACGGUUGUCGUCAGCUCGUGUCGUGAGAUGUUGGGUUAAGUCCCGCAACGAGCGCAACCCCUAUCUUAUGUUGCCAGCACUUUGGGUGGGAACUCAUGAGAGACUGCCGCGGACAAUGCGGAGGAAGGCGGGGAUGACGUCAAAUCAUCAUGCCCCUUAUGACCUGGGCUACACACGUACUACAAUGGGAGUUAAUAGACGGAAGCGAGGUCGCGAGAUGGAGCAAACCCGAGAAACACUCUCUCAGUUCGGAUCGUAGGCUGCAANU
rnacentral:rRNA from 1 species